UUUUCGAUCUUUGGCUCGUAUUGCAACCUCGGUGUGUGGAAGUAAGUGAAGAUUUGGUUUUCGAGGAGCAGUAAGUCAAGAUAGCGGAUUCUCAGGUUCGCCAGUUUUGCUUAAGGGUUUUAUCGAUGGGUCUUGUGGUUGAAUUUAUUUCUACGGAGGAAAGUUCCCGAGAAGCCGAGCUAGAGGUGAGAGGUUCUUA
rnacentral:lncRNA from 1 species